UUUGAGCGAUCUUCUGCAACAAGCCAAGACCUCUGAUAUCGCUGACAUGCGAUGUGUUGCCAUGAGAGGGCUUCCAGUACUUCUUGGUGAUGACCAAACUGAGUUCUUCAAAGCAUGCUUUGCUUCUGAUGAUGGAGACUCGUACCAACAUGUGCCAGUUG